UACGAAGGGUGCAAACGUUGCUCGGAAUCAUUGGGCGUAAAGCGCACGCAGGCGGCUUCAAAAGUCGGAUGUGAAAUCCCUCGGCUCAACCGAGGACGUGCAUCCGAAACUGCGGAGCUUGAGUAUGGAAGAGGGUCGCGGAAUUCCCGGUGUAGAGGUGAAAUUCGUAGAUAUCGGGAGGAACACCAGUGGCGAAGGCGGCGACCUGGGCCAAUACUGACGCUGAGGUGCGAAAGCGUGGGGAGCAAACAGG
rnacentral:rRNA from 1 species